CAUCAACUUCCGACAACAAAACACUACCAGGCCGAAGCUUGGGUGACUCUGAAAACUUCAGAAGGGCUCGCCAAACGUCCCAGCACGUACCAACAAUGAAUGCGCAGACCAUCACGAGUCGAAACCCGAUCAGGACUACUGAACACUGCCAGUUUCGUCAACUCUAUCCGCUUAGCCCCACGUGGUUUCACAUUCUCUUGAACUCUCUCUUCAAAGUUCUUUGCAACUUUCCCUCACGGUACUUGUUCGCUAUCGAAAUCCUGGUCAUAUUUAGCCUUAGAUGUGGUAUACCACCCACUUUGAGCUGCACUUCCAAGCAACUCUACUCCAAGACACGCCCAACUGGCCAAGUCGAGAUCCGUACGGGCCUAGCACCCACUACGGGAAGACGCGUUCGAACGCACUUCGGACCUCAACGAAAACCAGACAGACGCGCCUAUACGUGACACCUCGCUACAGGUAAGACCUGAGCGAUUACACGCUGGGCUGUUCCCGUUUCACUCGCCGUUACUCAGGGAAUCCUUGUUAGUUUCUUUUCCUCCGCUUACUGAUAUGCUUAAGUUCAGCGGGUAGUCAUGCAUGAGAUUAGGUUGAUUCAUACUAGAAUCCUCAUUGUCAGCCUUCAUAAAGCCGAAGUUUCGCCCGUACACAAGGCACGACGGGAAUAGGGUAAUGCACGAGAGCAAGCCAAAGAGCGGCGGCUUACCACGAAGCAACGUCCUAUCACGAAACGACAGCACGAAAGCACGACGAGGUGCGGUUUGCAAGUGUGUGUUGCCACACACGAGCAAGUGUUGCCACAAUAGAUCUGAUGACGGGAACUUACCGAGAAGCUCGCGCCACGACAAAGUCAUUCGAUCGGAAUGACACAAUAGUACAUUCAACACUAAUCCAUACAUGCCGACGAUUUCUCGCCGGCGCAAUGUGCAUUCAACGAUUUCGUGCUCAUUGUAUCUGCAAGUCGCACUACUUAUCGCAGCUAGCUGCGAUCUUCAUCGAACCAGGACUCUAGUGAUCCACCACGUAGAGUUGUACAAUUUCGCCAAGCAGCGCCGAAGCACCACGAGACUAGGUUAUAUUUCGAUGUCCAAAGCAAGAGUUUGUCGGCGCCAACACUUCGAGGCCGUGUUGAUCUUUAAUGCUCGCAAGCGAGAACGCUCGCUGACGUGACCGCCUAUGUGCACGGAAGAGCACACUCCGACAGACGCCACCUAGCAACCAGACAGUUCCGUAACAUUCAAAACCAAACAUUCGUUCAAUCCAUUCAAUUCAGUCAAAUUACAGUACGUAAUAGGUUGAUCGACAAUGAUCCGCGGUCAGGUUCUCCUAAUCGCACCUUGUUACGACUUUUGCCCGGUUCAAGCCACUGCGAUUAAUGCGGUUCCCAUCAGCGAAGAGAAACUCAACGCCGAAAGUCCCCGCAUUUCUCGAGGCAACUCAGUCCCGGGCAGCGACGGGCGGUGUGUACAAAGGGCAGGGACGUAAUCAGCAUGAGCUAAUGACUCAUACUUACUGGGAAUUCCUCGUUCAAGAGAAAUAAUUUCAAUCCUCUAUUCCAAACACGAAAAGCUUUCAAAAGAUUACCCAGACCUUUCGGCCAAGGUUAAAAACGCUUGCUGCACUUUCCAGUGUAGCGCGCGUGCAGCCCCGAACAUCUAAGGGCAUCACAGACCUGUUAUUACUCAAUCUCAUGCGGUUGAACACCGCUUAUCCCUCUAAGAAGUAGAUACGACCAAACUAUCGCACCACUAGUUAGCAGGUUAGAGUCUCGUUCGUUAUCGGAAUAAACCAGACAGAUCAAUCCACGAACUAAGAACGGCCAUGCACCACCAACCACCAAAUCAAGAAAGAACUAUCAAUCUGUCAAUCAUUAUAGUGUCCGGUCCGGGUGAGAUUUCCCGUGUUGAGUCAAAUUAAGCCGCAGGCUCCACUCCUGGUGGUGCCCUUCCGUCAAUUCCUUUAAGUUUCAGUAGAUGGUCCUUGCGGACGUUGACUAUCUCUGAUUUCUGCCCAGUGCUCUGAAUGUUAACGUGGAGUAAUCUGCUUAAGCGCGGGUAAACGGCGGGAGUAACUAUGACUCUCUUAAGGUAGCCAAAUGCCUCGUCAUCUAAUUAGUGACGCGCAUGAAUGGAUUAACGAGAUUCCCACUGUCCCUAUCUACUAUCUAGCGAAACCACAGCCAAGGGAACGGGCUUGGAAAAAACAGCGGGGAAAGAAGACCCUGUUGAGUUUGACUCUAGUUUGACUCUGUGACGAGUCUUGAGAGACGUAGUAUAAGUGGGAGACUUCGGUCGCAAUUGAAAUACCACUACUUUCAUCGAUUCUUUACUUAUUCGGUAAUGCGAGGAUUGGAGCUCGUUCUCCUUCCUUCUGGUGUUAAGUCUCGGCACUCGGUGCCUUGACGACUCGGACCGAAGACAGUGUCAGGCCGGGAGUUUGACUGGGGCGGUACAUCUAUCAAAACGUAACGUAGGUGUCCUAAGGUGUGCUCAGAGGGGACGGAAACCUCUCGUAGAGCAAAAGGGCAAAAGCCCACUUGAUCUUGAUUUUCAGUACUAAUACAGACCGCGAAAGCGUGGCCUAUCGAUCCUUAAAACCUUGAUGGUUUCAAGUUUGAGGUGUCAGAAAAAUUACCACAGGGAUAACUGGCUUGUGGCAGCCAAGCGUCCAUAGCGACGUUGCUUUUUGAUCCUUCGAUGUCGGCUCUUCCUAUCAUUGCGAAGCAGAAUUCGCCAAGCGUUGGAUUGUUCACCCUCUAAUAGGGAACGUGAGCUGGGUUUAGACCGUCGUGAGACAGGUUAGUUUUACCCUACUGUUGACUGGUUGUUGCAAUAGUAAUCCUACUUAGUACGAGAGGAACCGUAGGUUCGGACCACUGGUUCAUGCGGCUGGUCGAUAGACCAAUGCUGCGAAGCUACCAUCUGUUUGAUUAUAACUGAAAGCCUCUAAGUUAGAAUCGGGGCUAAUAAAGGUAACUAUGUUUUGGCUCCCCGGUGUCGGGAGGCCUUUGUUAAGUAUGCCGCAAGGCUACUGCGUAUGCCCAUAUCUAUGACCUUAUCUGUUCGGGGAAUCCGUUCAGGUUGUCACAACGGAUCAUUCCGUUUCAAUGUCGGGGCGCGAGAUCUCUUGUAGACUACUUGAGUAGUGGUCGAGGUGUUGUACUCAGUAGAGCGACGCAUGUCGCGAUCUGUUGAGACUCUGCCGUUGACCGUUUGGUU
rnacentral:rRNA from 1 species